AUGAAAACCCUUCAAAAGUUGUUUAUUUUUAGAAAUCACAGAUUCAUAUUACAGAGAAAGAAGAUACAAGAAUCAGAAAGAUCUCACCCGGAAGCGACCGAACACCACCGUGGAACGACCUCUAUUUCGUUGAAAAACACCGUCAAUCUCUCUCUUCCGCCGUCCUUCUCCUUUCUCGCUCUAGAAGGUUGA